rnacentral:rRNA from 1 species
UACGUAGGGUGCAAGCGUUGUCCGGAAUUAUUGGGCGUAAAGAGCUCGUAGGCGGUUUGUCGCGUCUGCUGUGAAAACUCGAGGCUCAACCUCGAGACGUCGGCGGAAACCAUCUGGCUAGAGUCCGGAAGAGGAGAGUGGAAUUCCUGGUGUAGCGGUGAAAUGCGCAGAUAUCAGGAAGAACACCCGUGGCGAAGGCGGCUCUCUGGGACGGUACUGACGCUGAGACGCGAAAAGCGUGGGGAGCGAACAGG